rnacentral:rRNA from 1 species
AUGCGGGGGUUUAGUGAAACAUGGUGUGGGUGGAUUAAGCAAAUCCUGUAUGAGGGGACAGUUAGUAUCAAGCUGAAUAACUGUACAGGCCCCUACUUUCAGAGUGCAAAAGGGGUUUGCCAGGGGGACCCCCAUUCCCCGUUCCUGUUCAACCUAGCUGUUGAAUGUCUUACAAAAAUGAUCAAGAAUUCUCAGUAG